rnacentral:rRNA from 1 species
CGCGGUAUUUUGACUGUGCAAAGGUAGCAUAAUCAUUUGUCUUUUAAUUGAAGACUUGUAUGAAUGGCUGAACGAGAAAAUAACUGUCUCUUUAAAAAAUCUUGAACUUUACUUUUAAGUGAAAAGGCUUAAAUAAUUUUAAGGGACGAUAAGACCCUAUAAAUCUUUAUAUUAUUCUUCUUUAAUUUUCAAAUUAUAUAUUAAAAGAAAUAAAAGAAAAAAAUAUUGUAUUGGGGAGAUAAAAAUAUAAUUUUUAACUGUUUAAAAUGUAAAACAAUAAUCUUUGAUUUAUAAAAAAUUGAUCCUUUUUAAAGAUUUUAAGAUUAAGUUACUUUAGGGAUAACAGCGUAAUUUUUUUUGAGAGUUCUUAUCGAAAAAAAAGUUUGCGACCUCGAUGUUGAAUUAAAAUAUCCUUAUAGGUGUAGAAGCUAUAAAGGAAAGUCUGUUCGACUUUUAAAAUUUUACAU